UACGUAGGGUGCGAGCGUUAAUCGGAAUUACUGGUCGUAAAGCGUGCGCAGGCGGUUCGUUAAGUUCGUUGUGAAAGCCCCGGGCUCAACCUGGGAACUGCAAUGGAAACUGGCGGGCUUGAAUGCGGCAGAGGGGGGUGGAAUUCCGCGUGUAGCAGUGAAAUGCGUAGAGAUGCGGAGGAACACCGAUGGCGAAGGCAGCCCCCUGGGCCGACAUUGACGCUCAGGCACGAAAGCGUGGGGAGCAAACAGU
rnacentral:rRNA from 1 species